rnacentral:lncRNA from 1 species
UUCUGUUCUUUUUGUUCUUCUUUUUUUGUUUGAUUGCUUCUGUAACUUUGCUAACAGGUUAAAUCAAGGGUACCGUGUCGUUCAUUGAUUCAAUUGAAGGGUUUCCGCAUAAGUUCUUUUUUUGUUUUUUGUCGGUUCGUUUGAUUUCAUCUUUUCCUUAUGAGAUUGAAUGCUACGGUUAGUCAUUCCAAACUUUUGUUAAUC